UUAUUGAUUUUAGCAUCAGAAGUGUAUCUUUUUCAUAUCAGCUUUAUUUACUGCUUAGUAACUUCACAUAUGAUGGCUUGACAGAGUAACACUAAAGAGGGUUCUACAUAUCUCUUUCUUCAUUCCUUUGGAUUAGAUUGAUUAGAAACUCAACAGCCAAAGGCAUUUUACAAUAAGAGAAAGAAAGAUGUAGAGCAAUAGCAACUAUUACAGAUUAUGGUAGAGAUGUAUUCAUUAAGCUGAGUGAGUGCGAGCUCCCAGCGUUAAGACAUGUAACACAAAGUACCAGAUGGUGACACCAGCAUACACAGCAGCACCCUCACAUGAGUGGACAGCGAGGAUACACCGACAAUGGUCAACAGCAAUACAGGAGAUGUUAGAUCAUGACAGGAAGAGAAGCAGCUGUAGGAGGGACGUAGCUGUCAAUCAAACAUGAGCAGCGAGGAGAUAAAGAAGAAAUUAGUAUGGUGAAUGACAGGGAUCACACCCGGUGCAUCCUGCCUGGUUAUCAACCACAAAUGAAGUGAAAACCAAUCUACCUUGAGAGAAAGGUCUUGGGGAUUGCCUGUCCAAACAUCAAAAUUUGACAAAGUGCCAUUGCUCAUUCAAAGAACAUUUCUACCCAGAUUCUUUAGCAAAAUGUGACAAGCGGGAAUUUCAGCCAUGUUACAAUCAUUUCCGCA